AAGAUAGAGGCGCGGCCGACAAGAGUACGCACGGCAAACGACAGACAUCGUGUGCGGAAAGGGGAAGCCGCCGAGGUGCCGCAUGUGUGUCUGAGCGUGCGGUUGCCGGGCCGGGGGAUAACAUCCGUCGGACUGUCACGGUUGUGGAGCGCUAUCG
rnacentral:ncRNA from 1 species